rnacentral:rRNA from 1 species
UACCAGCACCCCGAGUGGUCGGGACGUUUAUUGGGCCUAAAGCAUCCGUAGCCGGUUCUACAAGUCUUCCGUUAAAUCCAACUGCUUAACAGGUGGGCUGCGGAAGAUGCUAUAGAGCUAGGAGGCGGGAGAGGCAAGCGGUACUCGAUGGGUAGGGGUAAAAUCCGUUGAUCCAUUGAAGACCACCAGUGGCGAAGGCGGCUUGCCAGAACGCGCUCGACGGUGAGGGAUGAAAGCUGGGGGAGCAAACAGG